rnacentral:rRNA from 1 species
UACGAAGGGGGCUAGCGUUGCUCGGAAUGACUGGGCGUAAAGGGCGCGUAGGCGGUUCGUACAGUCAGACGUGAAAUUCCCGGGCUCAACCUGGGGGCUGCGUUUGAUACGUGCGGGCUUGAGUUCGGAAGAGGGUCGUGGAAUUCCCAGUGUAGAGGUGAAAUUCGUAGAUAUUGGGAAGAACACCGGUGGCGAAGGCGGCGACCUGGUCCGAUACUGACGCUGAGGCGCGAAGGCGUGGGGAGCGAACGGG